GACAGGCAUGUGGCGCACGCCUGUAGUUCCAGCUGCUCUGGAGGCUGAGGCAGGAUGAUCGCUUGAGCCCAUAGGUUCUGGAAUAUACCCAUUGGGUUUCCACACUAAGUUUGGCAUCAGUAUGGUGACCUUCUGGAGCAGGAGACCACCAGGUUGCCUAAGGAGAAGUGAACUGGCUUAGGUUGGAAACAACAGGUCAAAACUCCUGUGGCUGAUCAGUAGUGGAUUUGCACUCCAGCCUUGGCAACCUAGCAAGACCCAAUCUCU
rnacentral:SRP_RNA from 1 species